rnacentral:rRNA from 1 species
UUCCGUUAGGUGAACCUGCGGAAGGAUCAUUC